ACUANCAAGAGGGGGUGCCAAGGCGUUGUCUCGGUAUUAUUGGGGCGUAAAGGGUGCGUAGGCGGUGCGGUAAGUCUGUGGUGAAAUCUCUGGGCUCAANCUCAGAGUCUGGCCAUAGGAAACCUGCCCGUGGCUUGGAAGUGUGGGGGAAGAAGGGGGGGAGUGUGGGAAUUUCCCCGCGGGGUUUAGGGCGGGUGAAAAGUGGCGUAAGAUUAUGCGGGAGGAACACCUCGCUGUGGCGAAAGCGGCUCACCUGGACCACAACUGACGCUGAUGCACGAAAGCUAGGGGAGCAAACAGGAUUAGAUACCCCUGGUAGUCCUAGCCCUAAACGAUGAUUGCUUGGUGUGUAGGGUACCCAAUCCCGACGUGCCGAAGCUAACGCGAUAAGCAAUCCGCCUGGGGAGUACGGUCGGCAAGACUGAGCCAGGAUCAAACUCU
rnacentral:rRNA from 1 species